AAUUGACUUGAGUAACGACUGGAGGGCAAGUCUGGUGCCAGCAGCCGCGGUAAUUCCAGCUCCAGUAGCGUAUCUCAAAGUUGCUGCGCUUAAAACGCUCGUANUUGGAUCACGCACUGCGCGCGGGUGGACUCGCAGAGCGGCGCGUCAAACCUCUGUGAUCUGGACGUUGUGUUCUCACGGNGAUCCGGGUACAGGGGAGUGCCNCUUGUGGGUUGUCAGCCCGCGCGUAGUAAUUGCACGUGAGGAUGGCCGUUGACCUUUGGUGCGUCGACGGCCGUGUCUCACGGGGNGUGCCUUGAGUAAAUCAGAGUGCUCAAAGCAGGCGAAAGCUUGAAUGUUGAUAGCAUGGAACGAACAAUCGUGUAUGGUGCGCACCGAGGAUGGCUCCGCGAGGGGUCUACAUCGCGGUGCGUGACACCGACCGCCAAUUACGGAUGUUGGUUUCCGUAUUGGGGUACUGAUUAAGAGGAGCGGUUGGGGGCAUUGGUAUUUGGCAGCGAGAGGUGAAAUUCUUGGACCUGCCAAGGACUAACAAAUGCGAAGGCAUCUGUCCAGACCGUAUCCAUUAAUCAAGAACGAUAGCGGGAGGUUCGAAGACGAUCAGAUACCGUCCUAGUUCUCGCUGUAAACUAUGCCGACCCGGGAUCAGUUUGGAGCGUUUUCCAAGCUCGAGGUUGGUCCCCCUGGGAAACCUGAAGUUUUUCGGUUGCGGGGGGAGUAUGGUCGCAAGGCUGAAACUUAAAGGAAUUGACGGAAGGGCACCACCAGGGGUGGAGCCUGCGGCUUAAUUUGACUCAACACGGGAAAACUUACCUGGUCCGGACAUUAAAAGGAUAGACAGACCGAGAGAUCUUUCUUGAUAUGAUGAUUGGUGGUGCAUGGCCGUUCUUAGUUCGUGGAGUGAUCUGUCAGGUUGAUUCCGGUAACGAACGAGACCACGUUCUUCAUUUGACGAGUUGAAGAAGGCGCCCAAUUGGCAGGUGGUCGCUUGCGAUCAUCUGUGCUAGUGGGUGCUGUAGGCAAUAUUGGUAGACGAUUUGGCCUCGGCCGUGGUGGUGUCCCCAUUGCGGUCGGGGUCGGAGCACUCGAUCCAUGCCUUCCCUUCAAGUUUGCAGUAUGCGUGUCCGAAAGGUGCGUGCAUUGCCUCAUGGAGAGACAGCGGAGAAUAUAACAAAGUCCGAGGAAGUGUGGCUAUAACAGGUCUGUGAUGCCCUUAGAUGUUCAGGGCUGCACGCGCGCUACAAUGGCGGCGACAGCGAGUUUCUGGAUCGAGAGAUUCGGGUAACCUUGUAAUCGCCGCCGUGAUGGGGAUCGAUGCUUGUAAAUGCGUCGUGAAAGAGGAAUCCCUAGUACGUGCGAUUCAUGAGAUCGCGCGGAUUCAGUCCCUGCCCUUUGUACACACCGCCCGUCGCUACUACCGAGUGAAUGGUGUCAUGAUGCCUUGGGAGCGGACGUUGCGCUGGGCCUCGUGCCUGGAGUGACGCUGCGAUCAGCGUAGAAUGGCGCGA
rnacentral:rRNA from 1 species